UAAUUGAGGUUUCAUUAAGGCCUAUUUUAGCAUUUAAUAGCUUUAAGGCUAGCAAUGUGCUAGACCGGAAAAAUAACGGAAGCUGGAAGUGCGCGCGCUCAUUAUUAACGAGCCGAGAACUUUCUUUCUUUCUGAGCUCCAAACCGGUUUUCCACGCAUUUUUCAGAUGGAAAACGCAGAAAAGGAAGAAGAACAAGCUACUACCGCUGUCAGCACUGCUCUGGAAAACAUCCUGAGAGGUUUAGACUUGCUGUCCAACGACAUGGAUCAAUUGGCAUUGCGAACCCAUCAGAAGCAAUGCGAUCUGCUCAUCUCUGUUAGCCACCCUGACAAAAAGGCAUUUCUCCAAGGAAAAUCCCAGAGGCAGUGAAGCAGCAGCAGACUGGACUGAGCCUAACCUGAGGCGUGAUGAGCAGAGAGAAAAUGAUGCAGCAUCAAACCUUGUUCACCUCCCAGAGAGAAACUUCAGCCUGUUCUCGAGUUGUCUUUCCCUUGUACCAGCUGGGAUCCAAACCCUGGAUUCACAGAGAGAAAAGCCACAGUAAAACAACAAUUUUUUUUUUUUUUUAGAUUUCUGCUUGAUAUUUUUGCAGUAGUAGAGAUAGAAUAUGUAGCAUGUGUAGUGACAGCAACCUGAGUUGCUAAUACAAAGGUGUUUUUUAAUUCUGUAUCAGACUUGGAAAAGGUUUUUGCUGUUGUAUUGUACAAUAUCGCCAUCUGCUGUUUUGACACUGAAAAAGUACUUUUUGUGUAUCUAACUUCAAUAUAAAUCACUACCAUUUUACCUGUACAUGUUGCUUAUUGACAUGUUCUGUUGUUCUUAUUGAUUGGUUUGACAGAACGUGUGAUAUUGGUAUAGGAA